GAUUAACGCUGGCGGCGUGCAUAACACAUGCAAGUCGAACGAUGAAACUUUAAUGACCCCUUCGGGGAGAAUUAAAGCGGAUUAGUGGCGAACGGGUGAGUAACGCGUGAGUAACCUGCCUUACACAAGGGGAUAGCCUUUGGAAACGAAGAAUAAUACCCUAUAAAACCAUAAAAGCACAUGCAAUUAUGGUCAAAGUGAUAGCGGUGUAAGAUGGACUUGCGUCUGAUUAGCUAGUUGGUGAGAUAAAAGCCCACCAAGGCAACGAUCAGUAGCCGGCUUGAGAGAGUGUACGGCCACAUUGGGACUGAGACACGGCCCAGACUCCUACGGGAGGCAGCAGUGGGGAAUUUUGCACAAUGGGGGAAACCCUGAUGCAGCGACGCCGCGUGAUUUAGAAGGCCUUCGGGUUGUAAAAAUCUUUUGUAUAGGAAGAAAAUGACAGUACUAUACGAAUAAGGUCCGGCUAAUUACGCG
rnacentral:rRNA from 1 species